GUUUGAUCAUGGCUCAGAUUGAACGCUGGCGGCAGGCCUAACACAUGCAAGUCGAGCGGCAGCGGGAGGAAGCUUGCUUCCUGGCCGGCGAGCGGCGGACGGGUGAGUAAGGUAUGGGGAUCUGGCCGAAGGCGGGGGAUAACCACUGGAAACGGUGGCUAAUACCGCAUAAUCUCUAAGGAGCAAAGUGGGGGACCAUUAGGCCUCACACCUUCGGAUGAACCCAUAUGAGAUUAGCUAGUAGGUGGGGUAAGGGCUCACCUAGGCGACGAUCUCUAGCUGGUCUGAGAGGAUGAUCAGCCACACUGGGACUGAGACACGGCCCAGACUCCUACGGGAGGCAGCAGUGGGGAAUAUUGCACAAUGGGCGCAAGCCUGAUGCAGCCAUGCCGCGUGUAUGAAAAAGGCCUUCGGGUUGUAAAGUACUUUCAGUCGUGAGGAAGGUGUUAAGGUUAAUAGCCUUAGCAAUUGACGUUAGCGACAGAAGAAGCACCGGCUAACUCCGUGCCAGCAGCCGCGGUAAUACGGAGGGUGCGAGCGUUAAUCGGAAUUACUGGGCGUAAAGGGCACGCAGGCGGUUAAUUAAGUUGGAUGUGAAAU
rnacentral:rRNA from 1 species